GGCCUGGGUAGCUCAGUCGGUAGAGCACCUGACUUGUGAUGUAGGGGUUCCGGGUUCAAUUCCUGGUCCAGCCA